rnacentral:rRNA from 1 species
AGUGGAUGGGGAACAACCUAGUUGUGCGUGUGUAAAGGUAGUGCCAAGAAAAGCGGUGAUCAUGAUGAAAAUCAAUUCCCGGUACCCGAAACCGACACAGGUGGGCAAGUAGAGAAUACUAAGGGGCGCGAGGUAACUCUCUCCAAGGAACUCGGCAAAAUGACCCCGUAACUUAGGGAGAAGGGGUGCCACCGAGAGGUGGUCGCAGUGAAGAGGCCCAGGCGACUGUUUAGCAAAAACAUAGGUCUCUGCAAACUCGAAAGAGGAGGUAUAGGGGCUGACGCCUGCCCAGUGCCGGAAGGUUAAAGAAGUUGGUCAGUCUUAGGAUGAAGCUAGCGACUGAAGCCCCGGUGAACGGCGGCCGUAACUAUAACGGUCCUAAGGUAGCGAAAUUCCUUGUCGGGUAAGUUCCGACCCGCACGAAAGGCGUAACGAUCUGGGCGCUGUCUCGGAGAGAGGCUCGGCGAAAUAGGAUUGUCUGUGAAGAUACGGACUACCUGCGUUUGGACAGAAAGACCCUAUGAAGCUUUACUAUAGCUUGGGAUUGUGUUCGGGCUUCCUGUGCGCAGGAUAGGUGGGAGGCGUAGAAGGUAUUCUUGUGGGGAUACUGGAGCCAACGGUGAGAUACCACUCUCAGGAGGCUAGAAUUCUAACUUAAUUAAGGACAGUUUCAGGUGGGUAGUUUGACUGGGGCGGUCGCCUCCAAAAAGGUAACGGAGGCGUACAAAGGUUCCCUCAGACUGGUUGGAAAUCAGUCGCAGAGUGCAAAGGCAGAAGGGAGCUUGACUGCGAGAAGUACAGUUCGAGCAGGGUGGAAACACGGUCUUAGUGAUCCGACGGUGCUGUGUGGAAGGGCCGUCGCUCAACGGAUAAAAGUUACUCUAGGAUAACAGGCUGAUCUCCCCCAAGAGUUCACAUCGACGGGGAGGUUUGGCACCUCGAUGUCGGCUCAUCGCAACCUGGGGCGGAAGUACGUCCCAAGGGUUGGGCUGUUCGCCCAUUAAAGCGGUACGUGAGCUGGGUUCAGAACGUCGUGAGACAGUCCGUCCAUAUCCGAUGUAGGCGUGAGAAUAUUGAGAGGAGCCUUCCUUAGUACGGGAGGACCGGGAAGGACGCACCGCUGGUGUACCUGUUAUGAUGCCAAUUGUAAACGCAGGGUAGCCAAGUGCGGAGAGGAUAACCGCUGAAAGCAUCUAAGUGGGAAGCCCACCUCAAGAUGAGUAUUCUGGUGUAAGGUCACGGGAAGACCACCCGUAAAUAGGCACGAGGUGGAAGUGCAGAGAUGUAUGAAGCCGAAGUGUACUAAUAGACCGUCGGCUUGACC